rfam:Oryza nivara chromosome 2, whole genome shotgun sequence.
AAUAAGUGUAGUUUUGCACUAUUCACGUUCAACGUUUGACCAUUCAUCUUAUUUAAAAUUUUUUAUGAUUAGUAUUUUUAUUGCUAUUAGAUGAUAAAACAUAAAUAGUAUUUUAUGUGUGACUAAAUAUUUUUAAAUUUUUCACAAAUUUUUCAAAUAAGACGGACAGUCAAAUAUUAGACACGGAUAUCCACGGCUAUACUUAUU